rnacentral:lncRNA from 1 species
CGAGUUUCGCUUGAUUAAUUCUGAAGAGUAGUGGGCCUAGCGGCCUUUCUCUCGGUUCAUCAUUUAGGUAAAUUCAAAUACGGUAUGUCUUAUACACAUUUGGACCGAAUAUUUAGAAUGUGAUCAGAUCUUAGACACAUUUAUUCCUUAAAAAGAAUAUUGUGCCUAGAAAAAAAAAAUACUGCGCCCCAAAAAUAAUCAAUACAACAAACACACUACGAUUUUGUUACUUACACGUAGAAAUGGUACAUAAACGUAAAGAUAAUUCCAAGAAUUGUUCAUUGAUCCGUCAGCAGAUUCAUUAAUGAAAUAAGGCUCUUCGGCUCCGGCUCCGGCUCGGGCUCCGGCUCCAGCUAAGAAACUGUUUAUCUCAUUCAGGGAUUGGAACCGGUGGCUCAGCUCAGCCACUGAGCUCCCAAGACUGAGUUUUCACCUUCAUUAAUGUUGAGAAAAUGACUUUAAUUUGGGAUAGGAUAUGUUUGUUUUCCAUCCUCAGAUGAGCCACCUCAGCCUUCAUAUCAUCGAAUUGUCUUUUCCUGAGCUUACUCUGACGUCUCUUCUGCUUCCUUAAAUUCAUCAACUGCUGCUUAUCUUCUUCAGAACCCAAGUUCUGUACAACAGAUGUACAUGAUGAUAUCUCACUAGAGGAAGCCAUGGAAACAAAACCUCAAGAAAAUUCUCAAAAUUAAUGAAAAUAUCAGAUUAUAGUGAGAAGGAUUGAACUAAAUGUGUGAGGAAUUCCCAAAAUUUUCACAUGUCCAGAAUUUUUUAACUACUUAAGAACUGGGAAAUGAAAUGUCAGAAUGAUAUUAGAGGAUUGCAAAGAGAAAAGAGAGGAGGAUUGAGCUAUUGGUGGUGUUUGGGCAGUGAUUAUAUAGAGAGAGAAAAAUCGGUGGAGAAGAAUAUCAAAAUAUUGGAAAAG